AACGGUAGAGGUUGCGUAGAGCAUCAGUAAUCUGUCCGAUACGGCGGACGUAAGUGACGACAGAUGAAAGGGUGAUACGCCGAAGGAACGGUUCAUCCGCAGAUCCGGAUCCUGGGCAUACGAUCAAGAGUCGUAUGACUGUCAUCCUUCACGGGAUGGGGAGCUAUCA
rnacentral:ncRNA from 1 species